CGUUCAUCGCGCAUUUAGCAUUUACCCAUUUGUGUUCGUUGUUUGAUUGCAUCAGCGUCAGCCGGCAGUUGACAGCUGAUAAAUAUUUGCAUUUGUUUAUUGUUUCGUUUUGGAAUUAAGUUUAGGAUUUAUGCAAUAAUAUUUUAGAAUAAAAAUUAAUAACUAUGUUUGUACAAACAAUUGGUGAUAGUUCUUUGCCAGGGGAAUAUAAGAACGUUAUAUUGUGCUAAGACGUAAACAAAGUUCAAAUUCGGAGCAAUUUAAAAACCAUGAGCGAUAUAGAUAACUGGGUUUACUUCUUUGGAAGAAAUUCAAAUACACAAUCGAACUCUAAAUCAUCUUGUCCAGAGGGGAAACAAAUUGUUUGUUCGAAGAAAUUUGUAUGCCAUCACAGUCCCUUUAUGAAGGUCGAAGCCAAUAAAAAUAAACGAGGACUCUCAAAAAAUGCGAAUUGUCAAGCUUCUAUUUUCAUAAAAGUAAAAUUGGACACUGUUUACACAAGAUAAAGGGAUGCAUUUGUUAAGAAAGGAAUGCAAGCUGUGAUUUUAAUAGAAAAUGGGCAUAGUCAUACUCUUGAAACAGCAGAGACCGUUCGUUUUUUGCAACCGCCAUCAGAAACAAGAGACUUGUUUUUCGAAUACUUUAAUGAUCGAAUGACAAUUUCCGAAGCAAAGAAAUUCCACGAAAAAUUAUAUGAAUUUAAUCCAGAUAAAGAAUUGGCUUUAGCAAGCAGAAGUAAAAACCCUACUUAUAGAACAGUUCAGUAUUGGUAUCAUGCUUGGAGAAAUUUAAAUUUAGGGCCAAGAACAGGCGAUCAGUUAAUGGAGAAAUUGAAAGAAAAGCAAAUAAUAUACAAAGAAAAGGGCACUGAAAUCAGAUUUUCUGAAGAUUUGUUUGUUGUAGCAAUCAUUACACCGGUUAUGGCAAGGGGACAUGCAUCCCAGUUUUCUAAAGAAAUUUGCUUUGUGGAUAGCAUAAGUGCCUGCGAUGCAGAACAACACUCCAUUACCUUUGUUAUGGCUCCAUCUGCUGCAGGAGCAGUACCUCUAGGUAUAAUUAUAACGAGAGGUCAAACAUAUGAAGCCUAUUGCAGGGGGUUUCAGCUUUUGCAAGAUAUUGUGUCUAAUACUUUUAACCCAAAAUAUUUUUAACUGACAAUUCUGAUGCAGAAAUAUCUGCUUUAAAGACUUUUUUUCCAAAUAGUGUCAGCUUGCUUUGCAUUUUUCAUGUACUCCAAGCCAUUUGGAGAUGGUUGUGGAAUUCUAAACAUGGCAUUGCCAAAGAAAACCGUCAAGAACUCAUGGAAAAUUUUCGAAAAAUUUUAUAUUCUCGUACGGAAGUUGAUGCGCUUGAUGCAUUUUGUUAUUGUAUUAAUAAUGCUAAAAACUAUGAAAACUGAAUAAAUUAUGUCAAAAGUUACUGGGAUAUCAAAGAAAAAUGUUGCUUGGCAUGGCGCAAUAGUGACACGAAAGAGCAUCAUUAUCUCUUUAAAGAUAACGUUUUAUGUAGAGUUAAAGCAUACAAUGUUAUUGCUCUAAAGAUGUUAUAAGUUCAGUUCUUGAAGAAUUCUAUCAACGGAAACUCAAAGAAUUUGCUAAUAGUCGAUCCUCAAAUAUAUUUUUAAGUUUAUUUUUUAAAUUUGGUUAAAAAAACUAGCUAUGUUCAGAAGUCAGACAUAAUUUGUUUAAAUGAAAUUUAUUUUAAGGUUCCCAGCGAAAAAAAUAAAUCUGAAUUUUAUAUUGUUAAUGUUGAACAAGGUUGCUGUUCCUGUAUUCAAGGUAUUAAUGGAAAAUUUUGUAAACAUCAGUGUGCUAUAUAUAUUUUUCUUGAAACAAAAACUGUAUCUUUUCCUAAAAUAACUAUGAUAGAUAGAUAUAAUAUUGCUAAACUUGCUCUUGGAGAUGAUGCUCCACAAAUGUCAUUUUAUGAACCUUUCAUUGAUAAUAAUAAUGACCCUCAUUUAUCUUGCAAAAUUAGCACAGACACAGAUAUUUGUAUUAAGAACGAAUCUCAGGCAAGAACUGACCUUGUGCAUACUAACAAAAUUUCCACCCAAAUCAUGUCUUCAGCUUUGAUUGAAAACGAUAAUAAUGAUAAUAUAAUUGCAGACAUUUUUGAGAUGAUGCAAUCAUAUCAUACUUGUUUUGGUUCCUCCACAAGUGGUCUUAAAAUAUUGAAAGAUAGAUUAAGCGCAAUAAAAAGUGAGAGCCAAUGGGAAACUUUUAUCCAUACAACUGAUAAUACUGGAUCCAUACGGAAAAGAGCAAACGCGACCAUUAAAGUUCAGCCCACUUCAUUAAGCCAUAGAGCACCUGGAGUAACUCGGGGAAGUAAACGUUUGCCAUCAGGAAAAAGGUUUAAAAGCGAAAGAGAAAACAAAACAAAACGUAGAAUAAAAUUUAGGUUUAAACAUUAAAUUUAAUCAGCCCAAUGCGACAUCGCAUGGAUUUAACCAUUAGAUCGUAUAUUUGUACAAAACAAAAUUGGAAAAUCAACCAGUUUUCUAACUUUUAGUUUAGUAUUAAUUUAGUUAAUACUGUAAGCGACGAAUAAUUAUCGAGAUAGGAUGGAGAGCAUUUGGAGAGCUUUAGCUUUAUUACUUAUUAGUUAAUUAAAUACGCUGUACACAGAGCUUAAACCCAAAAAAUAGUCUAAAACAUUAUCUAUUAUUUGUUAUAAAUAAUAGACAUAUUAUAUCGAAAUAUUUUUGAAAUACUUUUGCAAGAUUCAUUUAUUGAUCUGAACAAAUUACAUACAUUUGCUUUCAUAAAUGG
rnacentral:lncRNA from 1 species